AUUGAACGCUGGCGGAAUGCUUUACACAUGCAAGUCGAACGGUAACAGGUUAAGCUGACGAGUGGCGAACGGGUGAGUAAUGCAUCGGAACGUGCCCGGUCGUGGGGGAUAACGCAGCGAAAGCUGCGCUAAUACCGCAUACGAUCUAAGGAUGAAAGCGGGGGACCGUAAGGCCUCGCGCGAUCGGAGCGGACGAUGUCAGAUUAGGUAGUUGGUGGGGUAAAGGCUAACCAAGCCAACGAUCUGUAGCUGGUCUGAGAGGACGACCAGCCACACUGGGAUUGAGACACGGCCCAGACUCCUACGGGAGGCAGCAGUGGGGAAUUUUGGACAAUGGGCGAAAGCCUGAUCCAGCAAUGCCGCGUGCAGGAAGAAGGCCUUCGGGUUGUAAACUGCUUUUGUACGGAGCGAAAAGGUCUCCUCUAAUACAGGGGGCUCAUGACGGUACCGUAAGAAUAAGCACCGGCUAACUACGUGCCAGCCGCCGCGGUAA
rnacentral:rRNA from 1 species